rnacentral:sRNA from 1 species
AUGUUCAUCAUUACGAACAUUACUGUCUGUUGGGGUGUCUGCAAUUUAUGCAGACGAGUAAAUGUGAGCACGGGACAGUCAUCAUAUUACAGAUAUACAGAAAACAAAAUCAAUUUCACAGCAGAUCGAGCAGUCAAUGGAAAGUUUCUGGAACAUGAGGCUGGCGACUGUGCAGGAACAAACAUCGAUGGGGAAAACAAGCUGGCAUGGUGGAACAUUUCUCUACCGGAUCUGGCAGAUAUUUACAAGAUCAACUUAAUGUUCAGACAAGGAUAUGUUCGCCAUAACAGCUACUACGUCUUCAUCAACAAAGUGGUAGCAGACGUGAACGAGCUGACUUCUUUGUCCCCUGUGUACUACGAGAGCGACAGUCGUCCCAGUGCCCAGAAUAUUAUCAUGUUUCCCGGUGGUUGUCUAAACCACAGUGAGGAUCAAAAAUGCAAGUGUUCUCAUGGUCAUCAGAAUUCUGCUCUUCCAUCAGAAAUAUUGUCAUCGGAAGUUGCCUGGCAUAGCAUAGAGGAUAAUGUGACUUUGACAUGCCAUCGGGGCUUUGUUAAAUAUAAAGACCAAAACCAAGAAAUCAAGAAAUCAAGGUUUCUUUUAAAAGAUCCCAGCAACAAUGUUUCGUUUGAUUGUUUAAAUGCUUGUGUGGAGGCCCCCUAUAAUCCUGAAACUACAUACGCACACCACAUUGGACCAAUCACAUUGAGAUUUGGUGAUAAUUUAAGCAUUGUCUGUAAACAUGGUCAUAGACUUGUUGCAGUAAAAUCUUAUCAGAGUUUGCCAGAAAAACGGUUCAUGGAGUGGAGAAAAACCAAUUUGCAAACCUUGUACAGUGGCCACAUUCAAUGCUAACACCACAUAUGCACAGUAUUUUCAACCAAACGACACAUUGAACGUUGGUGAUAAUGUCACUUACACAUGUAAUAAAGACUAUAGACUUGUAGCAGGAAAUCUUAUUAGACUCUGUCAGGAUAACGGAUUAUGGAGUGGAAAAGAACCGAUUUGUAAACGUAACUAUUUUUCUGUUAGUUUAAGUACUAAAAAAGUUUUCUUCAUUUCAUAAUUGGGGUUGGGAUAAAUACUGCAGCACCGUGCAUAUUAAUUUGUUUUGCGCUAUAUUGUGUUUUAGAAUGUAGUUUAAGGAGAUAUUUAUAUCAGCGCCAAGCAACAAAACAGAAUAAAACUUAUU